UUCUGUGGCCAUAGCACCCUGAAUGCGACCAAUCUCAUCUGAUCUCGGAAGCUAAGGUAAAUCUUAAAUAGCAUUGAUAAAAUAAUUUUACAAGAGGAUGUAUAAUUAUAUUAA
rnacentral:rRNA from 1 species